UUCAGCUUGGCACUCUGACAUUUAGCUGGACCCUCACAAGACAGAGUGACAGAGUGAGUGUAAAGCGAGAGGAGGUCUUUCUCCUUAAUGACAACCGUGUUUAUGAUGAUAGGCACCUUAGAACCUUAGGGUCCUCACAGGACACUCCACCCAACAGAGCAGAGGGACUGCUGUGCCCACAGUGAGCAUGCAUGGGUCCCCGCAUGAGCACCCACGUGGGCAGUUGUGUUUGGCAUUCAGCUGGCAUCCGGAGGCUUGGAUGCAGGACUGAGCCAAUGGGUGAUCUGCUCUGGCUUUGGUGGCUGAGAUGGAGUGGCAGGUAUGUCGUCAUGGGGAAGAAUGGACUCUGUCACACGGAAGGAGAGGCCAGCAGGCUGGACUGUGACCUCACCCGACAGCAGAAGGAGCCCUCACUUUCUCAGGCAGCUGCCUAUAAGCCUCACCUUUUCCUGAGUGUGCUCUUUGAGGUGCCAAGUUAGGGAUGGCCCCAGGCGUAGGACCUCAGACCAGGAUGCGACUUGGAGUAACUUUUUUUUUUUUUUUUUUUUGGAGUAACUUUUUUGUAAGGUGUAUAUACAAUCAUCAGAGGAAAGUAAGCUUAAAAAUGAUCAGAAAGGAUUGCAAAGUGGAGAUCCAUUUGUAUCCAUAUGCUUACCUAUGCUUAC
rnacentral:lncRNA from 1 species